UACGUAGGGUGCAAGCGUUGUCCGGAAUUAUUGGGCGUAAAGAGCUCGUAGGCGGUCUGUCGCGUCGGAUGUGAAAACCCAGGGCUCAACCCUGGGCCUGCAUUCGAUACGGGCAGACUAGAGUUCGGUAGGGGAGACUGGAGUUCCUGGUGUAGCGGUGAAAUGCGCAGAUAUCAGGAGGAACACCGGUGGCGAAGGCGGGUCUCUGGGCAACAACUGACGCUGAGGAGCGAAAGCGUGGGGAGCGAACAGG
rnacentral:rRNA from 1 species